AACUUUCGACAACGGAUCUCUUGGCCCUCGCAUCGAUGAAGAACGCAGCGAAAUGCGAUAAGUAAUGUGAAUUGCAGAAUUCAGUGAAUCAUCGAAUCUUUGAACGCAUCUUGCGCUCCUUGGUAUUCCGAGGAGCAUGCCUGUUUGAGUGUCAUUUAAAUUCUCAACCACGACUGAUUCUUUUCUGGUGUGGCUUGGAUGUGGGGGCUGUCUUCUUGGCGGCUCUUCUGAAAUGAACAAGUCUGCUUUCAUGAAGUGGAUUAGCGGUGUCUGAGAAGAGAACUUACUACAGGUGUGAUACUCUAUCUCUGCCUGUUAGUAUGCUGCAUCACCGGAUUGCACUGAUUCUAACAUGUGGAUAACCUCUUCGAGGUGAGGAUGCCUACACUUGAUGAGUUGCGCUCUGAAUCGGUGCGAGCUCCACGUGGAACUUAAGCAUAAGUAUCAGCGGAGGCU
rnacentral:misc_RNA from 1 species